rnacentral:rRNA from 1 species
CGGUGAAUACGUUCCCGGACCUUGCACACACCGCCCGUCAAGCCAUGGAAGCCGGGUGUACCUAAAGUCGGUAACCGCAAAGAGCCGCCUAGGGUAAAACUGGUGACUGGGGCU